rnacentral:rRNA from 1 species
AAUAGAUACCCAGGUAGUCCUAGCCGUAAACGUUGGGUGCUAGGUGUGGGCGGAUAUCGACCCCGUCCGUGCCGAAGCUAACGCAUUAAGCACCCCCGCCUGGGGAGUACGGCCGCAAGGCUAAAACUCAAAGGAAUUGACGGGGCCCCGCACAAGCGGCGGAGCAUGCUGCUUAAUUCGAUGCAACGCGAAGAACCUUACCUGGGUUUGACAUGCAGGGUGAAACCCGUGAAAGCGGGCGCUCUUCGGAGCCUGCACAGGUGGUGCAUGGCUGUCGUCAGCUCGUGCCGUGAGGUGUUGCCUUAAGUGGCGCAACGAGCGCAACCCCUGUCCUUAGUUGCCAGCGGGUCAUGCCGGGAACUCUAGGGAGACUGCCGGUGCCAAACCGGAGGAAGGUGGGGAUGACGUCAAGUCAGCAUGCCCCUUAUACCCAGGGCUGCAAGCAUGCUACAAUGCGCGAUACAAAGGGCUGCGAUCCCGUAAGGGGAGCGAAUCCCAAAAAGUCGCGCUCAGUUCGGA